UUGGAGGGCAAGUCUGGUGCCAGCAGCCGCGGUAAUUCCAGCUCCAAUAGCGUAUAUUAAAGUUGUUGCAGUUAAAAAGCUCGUAGUUGAAUUUCGGGGUUCUUCCGUUGGUCAGGCUAACCAGUCUGUACUAGCGUGUAGAAUUCCUACCUUCUGGGGAACCAUCAUGUUAUUAAUUUAGCGUGGUGGGAAACCAGGACCUUUACCUUGAAAAAAUUAGAGUGUUCAAAGCAGGCUUACGUCUGAAUACAUUAGCAUGGAAUAAUAAAAUAGGACGGUGGUCCUGUUUUGUUGGUUUCUGAAUCACCGUAAUGAUUAAUAGGGAUAGUUGGGGGCAUUAGUAUUCAAUUGUCAGAGGUGAAAUUCUUGGAUUUAUUGAAGACUAGCUUCUGCGAAAGCAUUUGCCAAGGAUGUUUUCAUUAAUCAAGAACGAAAGUUAGGGGAUCGAAGACGAUCAGAUACCGUCGUAGUCUUAACCAUAAACUAUGCCGACUAGGGAUCGGACGAUGUUAAAUUUUAUUGACUCGUUCGGCGCCUUACGGGAAAC
rnacentral:rRNA from 1 species